CCAACACUUACAUGCAUUUAAAUUAAUCUCCUCCUGAUCCACAAAUUUGUUUUCUGUCAAGUUAGUUACGAAUUGACUUACUCUUUUAUUAAAAACACAUUUUUACUAUUAAAACCAAUUUAAAAUGCGGUGGGAUUUGAAUAGAUUUUCAAAUUUUGUGUGAUUUUUAGUUGAAAAAAUAAAUAAAUAGUUUCAGAAAAAAGAAACUUAAACUUUUUUUUUUGGUAACAAUGUUAAGAUUAAUUACCGAUUUUUCAAAUUUGUUACAGAAGGACAGAGGAAACUAGAAGCAGAGUAAUUGAAAGCAACUAAACAGACACUCAUACUAAGACUCACAAGGACAGACAUUAGAGACAACAGCUAACCGAGACACAGCAGAAUCGGACCUGACGCUUGCCGCAAAAGAGAGAACCACAGUUAAUACGAGAUUUUGAGUCCGGUAAUUUUGGCUUCCCCGAUGAACAGGUCUUUAAGAUUUAGCUCACCAAGAACAGCUUGCAACACACCUCAAUCUGCAACCAGUCAAGUCAGACCGCAAAACCCAUGGUCUAGAACACCGCUGAAGACGAAGGCUGAGCUUUAUUUGGGAAGAAGAACAACCAGGAAACGCCACACGCCUACGAACCUACACAAAAAAGACAGAGCUUUCUAAUACCAAGAAACUUAAACUUUCUAAUAACAGGUAAUACAUCACCCCCGC
rnacentral:lncRNA from 1 species